UACGGAGGAUGCGAGCGUUAUCCGGAUUUAUUGGGUUUAAAGGGUGCGUAGGCGGCUUUUUAAGUCAGCGGUGAAAUUUUGCAGCUUAACUGUAACAGUGCCGUUGAUACCGCAUGGCUAGGAUUUGGUUGCUGUGGGUGGAAUGUGUGGUGUAGCGGUGAAAUGCUUAGAUAUCACACAGAAUAUCGAUUGCGAAGGCAGCUCACAAAGCCAAGAUUGACGCUGAGGCACGAAAGUGUGGGGAUCAAACAGGA
rnacentral:rRNA from 1 species